rnacentral:lncRNA from 1 species
UGGAGCCGUGUGCAGGUUGGCCCCCAGGGGUGCCUCAGCGUCCCCAACUAUAAGAGGAGGACCGCCUCCAACUCAUUGGCUUGAAUCUUUGCGUGGAAGCCGGGAUGAUUCCACUCCAUCUUCAAACUUCUCUGCCUUCAAAACCUAUUCAACAAAACCAAGAUCCAAAGGAACAUACAUUUUCUGGCCUUUGAUCCUGCUCGAGUCCGGGCUCCUGGGCUGCCCCCUGGUGAUGCGGGAGCACAGGGCUUGGCCGUCUGGUCCCCGUGUGCUGGCAGCUGCUGCGUUGGGCGGCGGAAGCUCGGGUUAGGCCCACCACCUGCCUUAGUGCCCCUCGCCGCGUAGGGAACCCGCGCCGUUCCUCCUGUGCCAGAGACGCUCCUCGUUGCACCGGAUCGGCCAGUGCACUUGUUUGCUGUGGGAUCGAGGGUGCAGCCGCUCAGUGUGCGUCACAGCCACGCCAGAGGCAGGACCCUGGGAACCACAGCUGGUCUGGGCUGAUUUGUUCUUCAUUUCUCGUGGGAAACAUUAAGCCUCUGUGUAACAGUUGGGUCUUCACCGGAUGGGGAAAAAGCCUAUUCACAGAGGAGCAGAAAUCAAGUCAGUCUCAAGAGUUCUCUGCAACCAGAAAUGCCAACAGGGGCAACACUGCAGUGAGGUUGAGAGUUACAGGUCGCGACCCUAAAUUCUGUGCCCAGCAAGCUGUCACUUGCACAGAAAAGCAGCCUCCCCCAGGCAGUGUGCCCUUCUGUAACAGUGCGCCUGGAGGGUGCACCCCAGCUGUGUGAGAGCAAGUCGGGGUGAGGGCCUCAGGGAUGAGCCAUCCCAGGCAGACUCUUGCACAUCUGGUUAUAAAACUGAAAAUGCAUGCCUGUCUUCAGACGGUCCUUAA